rnacentral:misc_RNA from 1 species
GGAAGGAUCAUUACAGUGCUCGUCAGGACGCUAUGCCUUCUGGCACGGCGGUCCUGCACCUGCCCACCCGUGUCUACGUUUCUUCUGUUGCUUCGGCGGACCCCGCUGCGCUGCUGCAGCGGGCUGGAGGCUUUGCUUCCGGUUCGUGUCCGCCGGAGGACCUUCUGAACCCUCUGUGAAUACUGGCGAGUCUGAGUGAUUACUGAAUACAGUUAAAACUUUCAACAACGGAUCUCUUGGUUCUGGCAUCGAUGAAGAACGCAGCGAAAUGCGAUAAGUAAUGUGAAUUGCAGAAUUCCGUGAAUCAUCGAAUCUUUGAACGCACAUUGCGCCUACCGGUAUUCCGGUAGGCAUGCCUGUCCGAGCGUCAUUUGCAACCUCUCAAGCACGGCUUGUGUGUUGGACCAGCGUGCCCGUCAGUGGGCACGGGUCCGAAAUGCAGUGGCGGCGUCACGGCUCGAUCCCGCAAGCGUAUGGGGCUCUGUCACACGCUGGGCGGUCGGGCGUAGCUACGUCUGCCAGACUCUCACAUCUUCUCAGGUUGACCUCGGAUCAGGUAGGGAUACCCGCUGAACUUAAGCAUAUCAAUAAGCGGAGGAAAAGAAACCAACAGGGAUUGCCUCAGUAACGGCGAGUGAAGCGGCAACAGCUCAAAUUUGAAAUCUGGCCCCCUUGGGGGUCCGAGUUGUAAUUUGCAGAGGAUGCUUCGGGUGCGGCCGCGGUCUAAGUGCCUUGGAAAAGGACGCCAUGGAAGGUGACAGCCCUGUCCUGGGCCGAUGGUGCGCGCCCGUGUGAAGCUCCUUCGACGAGUCGAGUUGUUUGGGAAUGCAGCUCUAAAUGGGUGGUAAAUUUCAUCUAAAGCUAAAUACUGGCCAGAGACCGAUAGCGCACAAGUAGAGUGAUCGAAAGGUUAAAAGCACCUUGAAAAGGGAGUUAAAUAGCACGUGAAAUUGUUGAAAGGGAAGCGCUUGCGACCAGACUCGGCCGGGCAGGUUCAGUGGGCAGUCGUGCCCACGCACUCCUGCACGGUCGGGCCAGCAUCGGUUCUGGCGGCCGGUCAAAGGCCCCUGGAAGGUACCGUCUCUCGGGACGACUUACAGCCAGGGGUGCAAUGCGGCCAGCCGGGACCGAGGUUCGCGCUCCGGCACGGAUGCUGGCGUAAUGGUCGUAAGCGACCCGUCUUGAAACACGGACCAAGGAGUCUAACAUCCACGCGAGUGUUCGGGUGUCAAGCCCGUACGCGCAGUGAAAGCGAACGGAGGUGAGAUCCCUCCCCCGGGGGGGCGCAUCAUCGACCGAUCCUGAAGUCUUCGGAUGGAUUUGAGUAGGAGCGUGAAUGUUGGGACCCGAAAGAUGGUGAACUAUGCCUGAAUAGGGUGAAGCCAGAGGAAACUCUGGUGGAGGCUCGCAGCGGUUCUGACGUGCAAAUCGAUCGUCAAAUUUGGGUAUAGGGGCGAAAGACUAAUCGAACCAUCUAGUAGCUGGUUCCUGC